rnacentral:rRNA from 1 species
GUCUAUAGCCAUACCACCCUGAAUGUGACUGAUCUCAUCUGAUCUCGGAAGCUAAGCAGGGCUGGGCCUGGUUAGUACUUGGAUGGGAGAUCGUCUGGGAAUACCGGGUGCUGUAGGCU